AUGAAGAAUUUGAAGACUUCCAACUUGUAGACGUGAAGAAUUUGAAGACUUCCACUUGCAUACUUGGAGGAUUUGAAGACUUCAACU
rnacentral:pre_miRNA from 1 species